rnacentral:rRNA from 1 species
UAGCGUAUAUUAAAGUUGUUGCAGUUAAAAAGCUCGUAGUUGGAUUUCUGGAAGGGCUCUAAUGUCCGCUUGUUGCGUGUGCAGCGGAGCCCUUCCAUCCUUCUGUUAACGUUUCUUGGCAUUCAUUUGCUGGUUGCGGGCUCAGAUAUUUUACCUUGAGAAAAUUAGAGUGUUUCAGGCAGGCUUGCGCCCGAAUACAUUAGCAUGGAAUAAUAGAAUAGGACUUUGGUCUCCUUUGUUGGUUUGAGGGACUAGAGUAAUGAUUAAUAGGGACAGUUGGGGGCAUUAGUAUUUAAUUGUCAGAGGUGAAAUUCUCGGAUUUGUUAAAGACUAACUUAUG